rnacentral:rRNA from 1 species
UACGUAGGGUGCGAGCGUUGUCCGGAAUUACUGGGCGUAAAGAGCUCGUAGGUAGUUUGUCGCGUCGUCUGUGAAAUUCCGGGGCUUAACUUCGGGCGUGCAGGCGAUACGGGCAAUACUUGAGUGCUGUAGGGGAGACUGGAAUUCCUGGUGUAGCGGUGGAAUGCGCAGAUAUCAGGAGGAACACCGAUGGCGAAGGCAGGUCUCUGGGCAGUAACUGACGCUGAGGAGCGAAAGAAUGGGUAGCGAACAGGAUUAGAUACCCCCGUA